rnacentral:rRNA from 1 species
AACAAGGUCUCCGUUGGUGAACCAGCGGAGGGAUCAUUACCGAGUUAUACAACUCAUCAACCCUGUGAACAUACCUAAAACGUUGCUUCGGCGGGAACAGACGGCCCUGUAACAACGGGCCGCCCCCGCCAGAGGACCCCUAACUCUGUUUUUAUAAUGUUUUUCUGAGUAAACAAGCAAAUAAAUUAAAACUUUCAACAACGGAUCUCUUGGCUCUGGCAUCGAUGAAGAACGCAGCGAAAUGCGAUAAGUAAUGUGAAUUGCAGAAUUCAGUGAAUCAUCGAAUCUUUGAACGCACAUUGCGCCCGCCAGUAUUCUGGCGGGCAUGCCUGUUCGAGCGUCAUUACAACCCUCAGGCCCCCGGGCCUGGCGUUGGGGAUCGGCGGAAGCCCCCUGUGGGCACACGCCGUCCCUCAAAUACAGUGGCGGUCCCGCCGCAGCUUCCAUUGCGUAGUAGCUAACACCUCGCAACUGGAGAGCGGCGCGGCCAUGCCGUAAAACACCCAACUUCUGAAUGUUGACCUCGAAUCAGGUAGGAAUACCCGCUGAACUUAAGCAUAUCA